rnacentral:rRNA from 1 species
GGGACACGUGGUAUCCUGUCUGAAUAUGGGGGGACCAUCCUCCAAGGCUAAAUACUCCUGACUGACCGAUAGUGAACCAGUACCGUGAGGGAAAGGCGAAAAGAACCCCGGCGAGGGGAGUGAAAAAGAACCUGAAACCGUGUACGUACAAGCAGUGGGAGCACGCUUAGGCGUGUGACUGCGUACCUUUUGUAUAAUGGGUCAGCGACUUAUAUUCUGUAGCAAGGUUAACCGAAUAGGGGAGCCGAAGGGAAACCGAGUCUUAACUGGGCGUUAAGUUGCAGGGUAUAGACCCGAAACCCGGUGAUCUAGCCAUGGGCAGGUUGAAGGUUGGGUAACACUAACUGGAGGACCGAACCGACUAAUGUUGAAAAAUUAGCGGAUGACUUGUGGCUGGGGGUGAAAGGCCAAUCAAACCGGGAGAUAGCUGGUUCUCCCCGAAAGCUAUUUA